rnacentral:lncRNA from 1 species
GACAUGAGAAAGUCAAAUUGGGCAAAAUCACUCUCUGACCGAGAGAUUGAGUGGGUACGCAAGUGUUGAUAGCUAUAAUACACCCCGAUCAAUAAAACAAGCUUUUAAGUUUACAACCCGUUAGGACAACACCUAGAUGAAGGUCAUAGCCCUAGGCCUUUUAUAUUAUUUGAAAAACGACCAAAAAAAAAAUUCAUAGUUUCAAGUUUUAGUUUGUAAUCUUAGUUCAAAUUAGACCUAGUAACAACCCAAGUUUGUGGAAGUGCAAUUUGAGAUAAUUCAAGCUCAUAAAUUAUAACAUAUAGUCCUAAAUCUUAUUUAUUGCUCCCUGUGAAAAAUCAUCCCUGGCUCCUUGUUGUGUAUUACUAUUGUAUCGACCGUUUUAUAACCUUAAAUAAAGGCGUGACUUGGACGAGAUCAAUUUUUGGCGUCGUUUCUGGGGAGCUAAAAAUGAAUUUAGCUAUAUAUUUGAUUUUAUGUGUGAAUUGUCUUCUUUUCCUUCUGUGUUACUGAUUUUUGUGAAUCAAUUAUAGGUCCAACAAUGAUCCUUAGCAAUGAUCAACUCAGAAACAUGCCUUUGGGGAUGUGGACGCUGAAGUUGACCAAGUUGAAGAGGUUACUCUUGAACCUCAAGCAAAUAGAAGAGGCCGAGUGCCUCAAGACGACAUCCUAGUUCAGUUCCACCCCCACCUCCACCAAGAGCGGCUCCAUGCCAUGUGUUGUCGAAUGAAGGGUAUGCAAGUGCAUCUCUCCCCACAUUAGGGCGAGCAACUUUUAUAUCACAAAUGUAAUGCUCACAUUGCUAGAGCAACGAGGAUUUUUCAUCGGGCCUCUAAGUCAAAAUACAUACAAACACUUGAAGGGGUUUGUGGACAAUUGUUUGGGGAGUAAAUAGACAAACGUCUUCGAGGAUGCUUUAAGGUUGAGACUAUUUCCUUUAUCUUUAUGGGGGAAACCCUAGGAUUGGUUAGAGAGAUUUCCAAAACAUUCCAUCCAUAUAUGGGAUGAGUUAGCGAAGAAACUUAUUUUCAAGUUCUUUUCUCCUGGCAUAUGGCUAGUCUUAGAGACGAGAUUCUAGCAUUCAAACAAGAGCCCAAUAACCCGUUGCAUGAAACAUGGGAGAGGCAUCGAACUAUGGUCAAAGAGUGCCCCAAUAAUGACAUGACGGAGGCUCUGAUUCAACAAACUUUCUAUCAGGAGAUCAAUACUACUCAGUGUGUGGUCAAUCAACUUGCCAAUGGAAAUUUCAUGUCAACGACGUUUGCAAAAGCUUGUGAUAUUUGAGAUGAAAUGGAGGAUACUUCAUCGGCAUAGCAAAGUAGGGCAAAUGUUCCUAAAGGUGAUCCGUACGUGAUUUACCUACAUAAAGAAUUGCAUUAUCGUGGGCAAGCCAUUGCCGAGUUUACCACCACAAUACAUCAAUUAGCCAAGGCUCAACUUCAACAAUUGCAAAGUCCUAAGCAAACCAAUGACAUGGAGGGAGUUAGUAUAAUGGUGAACAAGAGAAGGCCCAAGGGUCCAGAAGAGCAAAACUGUAUGGAUCAUUAUGUGCAAGAAGAUGGUGGGUUUGAUCAAGAUAAAUCAUGCAAUGAACAAGAGAAGGAAUUGCAAUACGUAAACAACAUUCAAGGGCAAGAAAAAACUCUCAAGCCCCGGAUCAACAACAAUGGAUACCUCAAGGUAAUCAAGGUAAUUGGAAUUCUAACAACCAAGGUAAUUGGAAUUCUAAGAAUCAAGGAAAUUGGAAUAAUAGCAAUAAUCAACAAAAUUGGAGUGGUGAAAAUAACCAAGGCAAUUGGAGUGGUAACAACCAAGGAUAUUGGGGAGGCAACAACAAAGGGGAUGUAACAAUAAUAAAGUCAAUCGGGAGUCAGACUUACAAAGUCCCCCGAUGUAUCAACAACCGAGCAACCUGCCUCCUUAUCCUUCCCAUGGUCCAAAUUCUUCCAACAAUGAGAUAGGACGAAUUGAGAAUACCCUUUCUAUUUCGACUUCUUUGAAAGGUGAUGUUCAAACAAAUGAUGGAGAAUAAUGUCGUUCUGAUGCCCAACUAGCCUCACACAAUACAUCAAUUUGCAACUUGUAAGUUCAAAUGGGGCAAAUCUCUCAAGCUCUAAACACUAGUCCUGAGGAGGCACUACCAAGUGACAUGGGGGUGAACCCAAAGGGUAGAAAUAACACAGGACAUUACAUGGUUGUUACUACAAGGAGUGGAAAAGGUGGAGAUGCACCCAUCUCAAGUCAAAGGAAACUUGUGGAUGAUGAGCAAGUGGUACAAAAAGAUGAGAAGCCGAAGAAUAUGGUGCAAACAAAUUGUGAAGUGCGGAUUGAUAUUCAUGAUAAUGUGAAAGAAGAUCAAAAGGAAGGGAACCAGUCUAGAGAUCACAUUGUUGACAUACCGAUCGGUAGUGCAAAUGUCUAAGACACCAAUGCCUAAGCCUCCUCCUCCAUAUCCUCAAAGGCUUUCCAAGUAGAAUGGCGAGAACCAACUCAAAAAGUGCAUUGAUAUGCAAAGUUUAUGAAGGAUUUGGUGACAAAUAAGCGGUCGAUGAAUAGUGAAACUAUAACAAUGACUCAUCAAGUGAGUGCACUUGUGCAUUCAAUGGCUCCCAAAUUGGAAGAACCUGAUUCUUUCACAAUCCCUUGUACCAUAGGAAGUGCUGAGUUUGCUAAAACUCUUUGUGAUCUUAGGGCAAGUAUCAAUUUGAUCCCCUAUUAGGUUUUCAAGACUUUGGAAUUGGUCAACCAAAACCCACAUCUACGAGAUUACAAAUGGCCGAUCGUACCAUGAAGAGACCAUUGGGAGUGAUUGAGGAUGUAUUGGUUCAUGUUGAUAAAUUCAUACUUCAAGAGGAUUUUAUCAUUCUUGAUUAUGAGGUUAAAUAUGAGGUAUCGAUUAUUCUUGGGAGACCUUUCCUUGCUAUGGGGAAGGAUCUAUUUAAUGUUGAAGCUGGAGAACUUACCUUCCGGGUUAGUGAUGGAGAAGUGAUUUUCCAUGUUUGUAAGUAUAUGAGGCAACCUAAUAAUGAGGUAUGCUCUUUCGUGGACUUGGUGACUGAUGUGAUUGUGGAUGAAACAAGUGCAGUGAUAAAUGUUGAUGAUACAUUGGCGGCUGUCUUGCUCAACUUUGAUGAUGAAACGACGGAGGGCUUCGUGGAAUGUGUGAAAUUUUUGCAAGGAAUGGGGUAACACACUUAUGAGCCCCGCCAAAUUGUCCGUGGAUCUUGAAAAUUGGACAAAUCCUCCUAGAAAACCUUCAAUUGAAGAGCCUCCUAUCUUGGAGUUGAAGCCAUUGCCUCCACAUCCUCGGUAUGAAUUUCUUGGUCAUUAUUCUACUUUAACGGUUAUUCUUUCCUUUUGUUUGACUAGCGUACAGGUAGACUCUAUAUUGGUGGUGGUACAAAAGAGGAAGAAGGCUAUUGGAUGGACAUUGGUGGAUAUUCAGGGGAUUAGCCCUGCAUUUUGCAUGCAAAAGAUUGGAUUGGAGGAAGGUGUCAAACCAUAUAUUGAACAUCAAAUGAGACUUAAUGAAGCCAUGCAAGAGGUUUUCAAAAAGGAGAUCAUCAAGUGGUUGAAUGUCGAGGUUGUCUACCCUAUUCUGAUAGUUCGUGGACUUCUCCUGUUCAAUGUGUCCCAAAGAAAGGGGGCAUGAUGGUAGUCACCAGUGAUAAGAAUGAGUUGAUUCUUACAGGAAUGGUGACUUGGUGGAGAGUGUGUAUGGACUAUCGUAAUCUCAACAAAGUCAUAAGGAAGAAUUAUUUUCCACUUCCCUUACUAGAUCAAAUGCUUAAUAGAUUGGCCGGUCGUGCUUUCUAUUGUUUCCUUUAUUGGUAUUUUGGCUACAACCAAAUUCUCAUUGCUCUAGAGGAUCAAGAGAAAACUACCUUUACAUGUCCCUAUGGUACUCUCAACUUCAAGCGGAUGCCAUUUGGAUUGUGUAAUGCACCGACAGCUUUUCAAAGGUGUAUGAUGGUGAUCUUCACGGACAUAGUGGAAUAUUACCUUGAAGUCUUCAUGGAUAACUUCUUGGAGGUCGAGAGUUCGAAUUUUAGAAGGUGGUAAACCCUUUGUGCAAGUUACUAGAAAAGGAUGCCAAGUUUGUGUUCGAUGAGAGAUGUAUGCAAGCAUUCAAGUUUCUCAAGCACAGUUGACCACUACCCCUAUGGGGCAUUUUGGGUCAAAAUUUUAAUAAAAUGUUUCAUCUGGUGUACUACACAAGCAAAAUCAUGAAUGAGGCUUAAAAGAAUUGCACGGUUAUCGAGAAAAAGUUGUUGGCCAUAGUAUUUGCAAUGGAAAAGUUUUGGUCGUAUCUUAUGGGGGCCAAGGUGCCCUUAGAUACUUGAUGAAAAAGAAAGACUCCAAAGCAAGGUUGAUGCUAUGGGUGUUACUACUUCAAGAGUUUGAUCUAGAAAUUGUGGACCGGAAAGGUAGUGAAAACCAAGUGGCGGACCAUUUGUACCAUUUGAAGGAGGAAGGGAGGCCUUGUAAUGGCCUAGAUAUCAAUGACUCAUUUACCGAAAAAGCAACUCCUUUCAGAGUUGGUAAAUGAUAUGUCGUGGUUUGGCGAUAUUGCUAAUUACCUUGUGACAUGAAUAGUCCCGUAUGAGCACUUUUCUAACCAAAGGAAGAAGCUCAAGAGGGAUUGUUUGGACUUCUAUUGGGAUGAGCCAUACUAGUUCAAGAUUUGCAUGGAUGGUGUGAUCCGAAGGUGUGUCCCGGAGGAAAAUCAAUUGAGUAUUUUGGAGGCUUGUCAUCCCUCUCCCUAUGGUGGCCAUCAUGGCGGGGCGAGGACGACUUCUAAAGUUCUUAGUUGUGGGUUUUAUUGGCCAACUUUGUUCAAAGAUACGGGUGAUUUUGUGAAGAGAUGUGACGAGUGCCAAAGAGCGGGUGGAAUUUCAAAGAAAGAUGAGAUGCCUAUCAAUACCAUCCUUGAGGUUGAUAUUUUUGAUGUAUGGAGCAUUGAUUUUAUGGGUCCAUUUGUUAGCUAGUGUGGGAACGCAUACAUUCUUGUAGUGGUGGAUUAUGUUUUAAAGUGCGUUGGGGGGUGAUUUUUUGAAGAUAUGUGACUAGUGUUAAAGAGCGAGUGGAAUUUUGAAGAAAGAUGAGAUGCCUCUCAAUACCAUCCUUGAGGUUAAUAUUUUUUAUGUAUGGGGCAUUGAUUUCAUAUGCCCAUUUAUUAGCUCUUGUGGGAACACUUACAUUCUUGCGGCGAUGGAUUAUGUUUCAAAGUGGGUUGAAGCCAUGGCUUUGCCCAACAAUGAGGCCCGGAGUGUUGUUGCAUUUCUCAAGAAGAGCAUUUUUACAAGGUUUGGCACUCCUAGGGCAAUCAUAAGUGAUGGGAGGUCUUAUUUUUGCAAUAUAGCUUUCGACACUUUGCUUUCAUAUUAUGGUGUCAAUCACAAGGUUUCUACCCCUAUCAUCUUCAAUCAAGUGGUCAAGUGGAAGUCUCCAAUAGGGAAAUCAAAAGCAUAUUGUCAAAAACUGUCAAUGCAAAUAGGACAGAUUGGUCAAAGAAGUUGGAUGACAUUUUAUGGGCUUAUAAGAUUGCUUACAAAACUCCGAUUAGUAUGUCUUCGUACCGGUUGGUGUUUGGGAAAGCUUGCCAUCUACCGGUUGAGUUAGAGCACAAGGCCAUGUGUAUCCGUAUCGGUUAGUGUUUAGAAAAGAUUUCCAUCUAUCGGUUGAGUAAGAGAACAAUGCCAUGUGGGCUUUGAGGAAUCUAAAUCUUGAAUGGGAUGUUGCAUCCAAUUUUUGUGUGGAGCAACUCAAUGAACUUGAUGAAUUCAGAUUCCAUGCCUACUCCAGUUCGUCCUUGUAUAAGGACAAGAUAAAGUACCUUCAUGAUAAAUAUGCUCGUGGAAAGGAGUUCAAAGUAGUUAAUUUGGUUCUCUUAUUCACUUCCCAAUUACGUCUGUUUCCAGAAAAGCUUAAAUCAAAAUGGAGCGGACUAUUUGAAGUUGUGCUGGUGACCCCUUUUGGUGCUCUUGAUUUGAAAACAAAAAUGGUGAAGUCUUAGAGUUAAUGGGCACCGGGUCAAGCAUUAUCUUGGGAAAAUUGAUGACAGCCACGUGGUGGCACUUCUUCAGUUCAAAUGAUGUGAUGGUAACUUGCGUCAUGCCGCGAUGCUUAAUCAGGAGCUUCUUGGGAGGCAAUCCAUGUGUUUUUAUUUCUUGUUUUUCUUUGAUUUUCUUUGUAGUAUAUGAUUGAUUUUUAGGCUAACUGGUUGUGAGAUGUUACAAUGUUGUGUUGAUGGAGUGUAAGACGUGGUGUGAAAAAUGUACAGGUUUCUCAAGUUGCCAGUGCGCCCGCACUACAUUCUGUGCGGACUGCACAUGUGAAGGUUAAAUGCUGCAUCUCUGAAGUUUGUCAGUGCGGCUGCACUACAGUUUGUACGGUUCGCACUGGGCCUCUGCGGACGUAGUCCAGUUUGUGUGGAUCGUAGAGAGCUACCUACUUAUGCUUGAACAAAAUAGUGCAGUGUGGACUGCGGUCCAUUUUGUGCGGUUCGCACUGGUUGGCGAGAAUGGGCCCCAGCCCUUUUUCUAUAAAUAGGGCUUGACGGUCUCCUUUUACUCUUUUCACAAUUUUAACUCUCAGAGCCUCAAAGACACUAUUCAAAACUUCUUCUGCUCGUAAUUAAUUGUUGGAACUUACUGCUUCACUUCGUCUCAUUAUCUGGUACUAUUAUGCUCUUCUUUAUUUUAUUUUUGUUUUUCUUAGGUUGUAUCUUUCCUCUUCCCGUAUUUUUCUUCAAUUGCUUAGGUUAGAGUAGUUAAAUUUUGGAUUCAUGUGGAAUUAAUUAGCUUAAUGAACUAGGAAAUGGUAUACGGACACUACUAUGCUGAUCAAUUAGAUUUAAAACAAAAAAUUAUGAAACCCUAAGUGAGUGUCGCUUCUGGGCACUCAAUGCGGACAAGAAUCGUUUUGUGUGGUCCGUGGUGCCUCUGCAAUACCAUUUUGUGCGUACCGCACUGAUGAAUCUAUGGUAAGCUGAACUUUGGGCAGUACGGCCGCACUACAUUUUGUGUGGACUGCACUGGCCCUUGUGCGGGCCAUACUACCACUUUGUGCGGACCGUAUGUUGAUACCCAAUUUUUUUCUAUAUAUUUCUUGCACCCAAAAUGCUUUCAAAAUAGUAUAUGUAUGCAUAUAUAAGCAUGCCUGGGAAUUUUGGUAUUUUUUCUUAAUUUUCAAAGAUUUUUAAAAAUCAAUUUAAUGACUACUUUUUGAUAAUAUAAAGGCCAAAAUUAUUUCUAAAUUAUUAUUUUUAGUGCACAAUGUAUUUCAUUCUCAUAUUUACGACAAGACAUAACUUUUUUUUCACAUUUUUUAUAGAUAUAUUUGGAUUUUUAAAAGCUAAUUGCACAAAUAGCAAUUUUGGCCUAUUUUGCAUUUUGCUAUGUUUUAUAGAUAUAAAAUUACUUUUAAUAUUUUUAGAUUGACAUUUAUAUGUUAUUAAUUAGUUAUAUGUUUUCAAUUUUACUUUUUAAAUUGUUUUAGCUAUUUUAUAAAAUAAAUUGGGAUGAAUUGGCUAUUUAAAAGUUGAACAGAUUUCGUUUAAAAUAUAGCCUAAAUUGCACCCCUAUUUCGGUCCAAUUUUUAACCCAAUUAAAUGACCCAAUACCUAUUAAACUACCCGACCCAGCCCAGACUUGAUUCUGAGCUGUUGAUCAAACGAGAUCAACGAUCCAGAUUAAAUUUCCUAAAUUAAAACCUAACUACCCCCUUUCCAACCCCCCAUUCUCUGAGAUCUCUCUCUCUCUCUCUCUCUCUCUCUCUCUCUCUCUCUCAUUAACCCUUCAUCUCUAAGUUCUCUCUAGAAACUUCCAAUCCUCUCUCUUCUCCGAUGGCUUCCAUCGUCAUUCCGGCCACCUCCACCCUCGCUCCUCUCGACCACCACUCACCAUGGUACUGUAUCUCGUUAUUUCUCUCUCAAACUCGAAGCCCAGAAGCUUCCGCCAUGGAAGACGGUCGAUUGAAGCUCGCCUGAGCCUUUGUCGGCCUCUCCCCGGUGGUUUUCACACGAUUAUGCUCUAUCUUGUGUUAAUGAUGAGUUUCACGACCAGGUUCCACCUUUCUUUAACUCGUAUGCAAACCCUAAUGUUUCAUUCAAAUCUCUUUAACUUUUGUGGUGUUAGAACGAUUUUUUAGUUUAAUCUUUCUUUUCUACUCUAUUUCUCACUCAGUAUUUCUUAUUAGUAAAUAGAAAAGAAAAGUAAUGAAUAGCAAGAUAUUUGAUAAAACGAAAAAUGCUUUUGAUUAAAUUCAUAAAUGUUCAAAACAUCGAAGCUCUUUUGGAAAGUAAAGAAAAAUGCGGAUAAUAAAGAAAACAACUAAAACAAAGAUGCAUGAUGCUUGUUCAGCCUUGCUACCCCGAAAGUUUCCGGGCGAUGGUGGUCCUGAUUGACCAGUUGGUAAGGUGCUCCCCUCGAUUCACAGCCUGAAUGGAAGGGCCUUCCUUCCAUUCCUCUUCAAAUCAGGUUCUUCAUUGCCGCAAGAGCCUUGUCUUCUUCUGACCCGUAGGGAGUGUCGGCUGGCUGAAAAGUCUGCUCCAACUGAGGUAUAGGGCGUUCCAAUGGGUAAUAUGGGCCGCGCCAUGGUGGUGACCAGUUUUUGAAUUCUUUCCAUGUGUAUUCGUACCCAGUCCGAAGGUAGUACCAUGUUUUUUCAAUUGGAUAGGUUUGGUGAUACCUUGAAGAUUCUUACCAAGCCCUUUCCCUGGUUCAUACCCACUCUAAUUUAGAAUGCUUUCAACCUUGUUUCUCCACCAGUUGUCCUUGUCCACUGCGUUGACCCGCUCAAUUUGAUGAUAUGUUUCUCCGCCUAUUCUUCUUCUGCCUCUGAUCAUUGGAAUGGUCUGGCGACUGUAUAUGGGGUUGCUUCCAUCGCCAUGGAUGAUUACUUCGUAGUGGUUCCAUUCGAAUUUCAUGGCCUGAUGCAAGGUGGAUGCUACAGCCCUAGCAACGUGGAUUCAGGGUCGUCCCAGCAGUAAGUUGUAAGAUGCUAGUAUGUCGAUGACUUGGAAAUCAACAUUAAACCAAGUGGGCCCAAUUUGCAAUAACAGGCUAUUUUACCCGAGGGUGGACCUCUGAGAACUAUCAAAAGCCUUAAUGUUGAUAGCCCCAUCUUUUAUCUCAUGUAAUCCUUUUCCUAACUUCUUGAGAGUGAUCAAUGGAUAUAUGUUGAGAUUAGAACCUCCGUCGACUAAGAUCCCGGUGAUUAAAUGAUCCUCAUAUUGGACAGUGAUGUGUAGUGCUUUGUUAUGACUGAGCUCUUCAGGUGGCAAUUCAUCCUCGUGGAAAGUGAUUUUGUGACUUUCCAAUACCUGCCCUAUCAUGUUUGCUAUUUCUCCUCCUGUUAUGUUGCUCAGGACAUACGCCUCGCUCAAUAUCCUCAUCAAGGCGUUCUUAUGCGCCUCGGAACUCUGCAGCAAUGCUAAGAUGGAAAUCUGCGCCUGAGUCUUAUUUAGCUGUUCAACAACUGAAUAUUCCUUAGCCUGUAUCUUUCUCCAGAGAUCACCAGGUCAAGUUUCGAUGGGACGUCCAUAAGACUGCUUGCUGGACUCAGCUAGGUAUUCUGGUGUGUAUACCUUGCCUAUUCUAGUCAUACCUUGCGCGGCAACUGCUUUACUAGUGCAUGCUUUUCCUUUCCUUCUUGCCUCGGCUGUGUAGUCCCAGGGUAUGGCAUUUUACUAAAAUGGGGUUAUGUCUGACAUGUUGACUGGAAUGAGCUCCCUUGGGGGCACCAUAGCAACUUCAAUUGGUGCGGGCGCCUUUGGAGUCUCGAACUCCACCUCAAUUGGUUUUGGCACUUUUGCAGGAGGUGUCUCGAACUCAAAUGGUACAGAUGUAUUCACCAUAUUUCCAUCAGACAGCUGGAUUUGCACAACAAUAGGAUUAAGGGUGGCUGUCGGUUUGUUGGGCUCAUCUCCUUACGAUAUCAAACCGAUCGACCCGUCGUGGUCAUAGUCUUCCUCAACCUCAAUCAUGUGGAUGCCCCCUCCUUUGUGGUCUGGUAGAGGGUUGUUACGAACAUUACGAUGACCUUGUUCUCAAUUAAGGUCUAAAUUUUGUCCUUCAACGAGCGGCACUCAUUGAUGGUAUGACUCUUCAUCCCCGAAUGGUAUACGCAUGUUUUAUUUUGGUUGAUCCAUUGGGAGGGGUUUUCUAGGUUUAUGGCUGGGAUGGGUGUAUCAUAUCCACUGGCUUUGAGCUUCUCAUACAGUUGGUCAAUGGGUUCAGCAAUAGCACUGUACUGUCUGGGUGGUUUGCGGUCAAAAUUUGGUCUUGGUCGUGAGAAGUUUUGGCGGGUAGGUGGUGAUGGAUAGUGAGAAGGUUGGGAGUCUUAAUCUUGGUAUACGGGUGCGGGUUGGGAAUAUCCUGGCAAGAUGGGCUGAUAUGUUGGUGAUUGAGAUGUUUGGUAGACGGGAUGUGGGCUUUGAUAGGUAGGUGAUGGUGCUUGGUAAUUUAGAGAGGGUUGGUAUGUGAGUGGGGUUGAAGGGUAGGGUUGAUAUUUCAUGGGAGAGUGGUUUCUCUGUGCAGCCAUUACGGAGUUUAUACCCUUUUUCUUCCACAUACCACCAGAUUGCAAUUCUUUGUUGGUGGCCUGCAGUGCCUCAAGGUUAGUAACCAUACCAUUUUUAAUCCCUUCUUCAAUUCUUUCUCCCAGUUUGAUGAUAUCAGCGAACUUCUGGCCCUCUAUCAGCAUCAAUCUCUCGUAAUACUGUGGGUCAUGAGCGCGAACAAAAAAUCUACUCAUUUGUUCUUCUUCCAAAGCUGGCCUAACCUUGGCCGCUUCCGACCUCCAACGAGUUGCAUACUCGUGAAAGUUUUCGGUGGUCUUAUUCUUCAAAUUCUGGAUAUAGAACACGUCCGGCACGUUCUCAGUGUUGAACCUAAAACGGUCCAUGAAAUCGGAUGCCAUGUUUACCCAACUAGUCCACUUCUUCGCAUCUUGGCUGAUAUACAAAGAUAAUGCAUCAUCUUUCAAGCUCCUCAUGAACAGUUUCAUGCAGAUCUUUUCAUCUCUACCAACUCCCACUAACUUGUCACAAAUCAUCCUGAGGUGAACCCUGGGAUCACCCGUACCAUCAAACAUUUCGAUCUUAGGAGGUUUGUACCCCUAUGGGAGUUUGACAUCAGGCUGAACACAAAGGUCUUCAUAAUUUAAACCCUCUACACCUUUAUUACCUUCCACUCCUUGAACCCUUCUAGUGAGAUUCUUAAGUUCAGCAGCCAAGUUUUGAAUGAGUGAGUCUGAUUCUGACACAUUUGAUAUGGACUGCGUGUAGUAUGGCACAGUAUCCACAAAGAUAGGGGUAUCUUGAUGAUUUGGAGCAUUUUGGGGCUCAGGGAUGCGCGGUGGAGCAUUUUUGCGAGCUUGGGUUGGAAUCUUCUGUGGAGGUGCAGGGACUUGAUUGUUGACAUCUGCAGCAGCAAGGGAGAUGGACAAGCUUGCCAAACUCCGGACCUGGUCCAGUUCCUCUUGAAACCUAAAGUUUUCUCCAAGUGAGCAGCAGUUUCUUUAGUGAUCGGGGUACCCUAAGAAGUUCCUUCAAUUUGCUUCUGGCCUAGUUCCUCUCGGAACCUUAGCAAAGUUUAUUCCAAAUGAGCAGCAGUCUCUUGUGAUCGGGGUACCCUGGGAAGUUCCUUCAAUUUCCUUCCUUGCUUCAUUAUCUCCCAUCUUUCGUUUGUUCCUAUUUCUGGGAGGACUCGGAGGAGGAGGAAGAGGACCUUAGAUCUUGUUGAGUAUGCUGAUUGUGCCAGAACGAACGAACUAACCUUUGGGGAGGGGAAUACAAAAUAAGAAAAAAGGUAAAAGUUAGUGCGGAUUUCGAGAAAGAAAACAUUGCAGUAUUUAAGCACAUUGUUGCAAAAUUAUAAGUCGUUUCCUAUUUGGGUGUCUCGUUGUGCCCGAGGUAGGCCUAGCAAAAAGUAUGAUUUGGAGAACUCGUAAUACCAAAUGCCUCAUUUUAUCGAUAGAAAAUAGAACGAGUCAAUAAAGAAAAAUUGUCACUAAUGGCCAAAGGCAUUAUUACAUCAAGAAAACAGUAAAGUCCUAACUACUUUGUCCCAGAAGGACCUUCCCCAGAUUCGGUAUCUUUGCCUCCCUCGUACUGUUUCAUCAACUCGCGCAGUCCCAGCAACAAGUAAUCCCGAGCCAGGUGCCCACCUUCAUUACCUUUAGCUAAUUGAUAGUCGUUGAUCCUUUUCAAAAACUUGCCUUCAAGCUCCACUAAACCUCUUUCCAAGUACCCUAAACAGUUAUAUGCGCGGACAACCAUGUCUUUCCACUCAUUGAUUACCUUUUCUUGGGCCUCUAGCAUUUCCCGAUGUUCACUUUCACACUCUCGCAUCCGUUUGUGCAGCUAAUUAUACUUAACCUUUGUUGUAGUCUCCUCAUAAAUAACCCUGUGACCGUGGACGAAAUCCGUUUUUCCCAAGCCAAUAUGAUCGUCUUCUAGCCACCCCGUGCAGCUGAUUAUACUUAACCUUUGUUGCAACUUCCACAUCAAUAACCCUGUGACCAUGGACGAAGCCUGUUUUGCCCAAGCUAAUGUGAUCAUCUCCUAGCCACCCCGGAAAGAGUGGCGCAUGCCCUGCCUGAUACAUGUCUGGCUUCAUAGAUUCCCUUUCCAAAAUGAGUUUGGAGUGCCACAUAUGCUGAGCCCGAUGUGUGGGCUAUCAUUAUCUUGAAAGUCAGCCCUGUAGUGAAUCAUCUUUUCCACCCUUGGUAUAAUUUUCUUUCUCCCUGCUUGCCUCAUUACUUGGAGAGGGACGUAAGGGUAAGUUCCUCUUAAGCCUAUUAGGACAAGGAAUGGCGCAUAUCUAGACCGAAUGAUAAACAUCUAUUGUACCUGCUCUUCUCUCAGAUUCCCUAAUAGUUCCACCCAUCCACUGACGUCUUCCGGGUGAGCAAACAUAUCCGACAUGAAGUGCAUUCGAUUUGGGUGAUGGAAAGCAAUAUGGUCAUCCCAAUCUCGUCGUAUGAUCUCUUGUCUAUACUCUCCUUUAUGAAGAUUCUUAAUGAGCCGAAGUAAUAAUAGAAAAUUGCACCCUUCGAAGUGAGGUGCCCUUUAUUGACUUUUUUCUUAGGCUCGGUACAGUUCGGUGAGGAUCAUGGGUGCUAUGUUGAAUGUUUGCCCGUCGAUACCCUCUAUUACGGCUUUGGUUACCAUGGCUAGUCUUGUAUGGAUUCUAGCCUUCUUCAUCGGAAAAACUNNNNNNNNNNNNNNNNNNNNNNNNNNNNNNNNNNNNNNNNNNNNNNNNNNNNNNNNNNNNNNNNNNNNNNNNNNNNNNNNNNNNNNNNNNNNNNNNNNNNNNNNNNNNNNNNNNNNNNNNNNNNNNNNNNNNNNNNNNNNNNNNNNNNNNNNNNNNNNNNNNNNNNNNNNNNNNNNNNNNNNNNNNNNNNNNNNNUACAUGAAGUCGAAGGAUAUGUAGGAGUCCUUCAGACUGGUCAGAUUAGGAUUCUUUUUGAGCCCCAUCAUCUUCAAGAACCCUCUACCUUUGCGAUUUUCUGGCAUAAGUAAUCCCGGGCUAUCCGAAGGAAUUCCGGGAUCCCCAAUUUCUUCAAAUAGCGGUGUCAUUUCAAUACCCCUAAAGCGGAACACGGACCGCUCACUAUCCCAAAACAUAGUAGCAGCUUCCACAAUCUUGUUAUUUGGCCUAACUUCCAGGAGUGAAGGAAGAUUUCCUAAGUGCUUGUGGACAAGAGACCGAUCACUACCAUGCAAAUCAUCACACUAACUCAGCAACUUUGGAUGAAUGUUUGAUACCAUAGCGAAUCUGGGGACCUCGUGCCUCAUUUUCCUGCAAAGUAGAUGUGCUUGCGGACAAGAGCCCGAUCAAUACCAUGAAAAUCAUCCCACCAGCUUAGCAACUUUGGAUGAAUGUUUGAUACCAUACUGAAUCUAGGGGUCUCGUGCCUCAUUUUCCUGCAAAAUAGAGAGUUACGCCCUUAACCCCACCGAACUCAACCAUUUAAAUCAAUAAUUAUAAAAAGGUAUUUAAUUCUCCAAAUCAAUGCACAUAACAUGAUUGUCCGUUUGGGUUUUGAGGAAACCCGAUGUACUUUGGUUUAGGCUAUCUUAAUGAGUCAUUAUGCGGACAACAUAACUGACUCGUCUAAGUUUGACCAUGAUNNNNNNNNNNNNNNNNNNNNNNNNNNNNNNNNNNNNNNNNNNNNNNNNNNNNNNNNNNNNNNNNNNNNNNNNNNNNNNNNNNNNNNNNNNNNNNNNNNNNNNNNNNNNNNAGGUUUCUGCUUUUGAAGUGCUAGACAAGGUACCCUUGAGCGGACAACUCAAGAGGGAAAGGCACGGAACCGUCGACUACACCGUUGAUCGACUGGUUUACUGCAAAUACGCCUUAGCCAUAUUUAAGGGUUUUUAAUAAUGGAAGAGCGCAGCCACUCAUUAUAAGCAUUGCUAUAGCAUUUGUUUGGCAUGAGUGGAAAAUGAUGUUGAAGGAUGCAAUUACAACAAUGGAAUACAUAUAUGUAUUUUCACGUUCAUACAAUAAUGAUAACAUUAGUUACUCGGAAUUUAAGACGCAAUUGGAGUAAAAUGAGGUAAUAAAGUAGUAAAACAGUUAAAGAAAAAGAAAGACACGAAGAAACAAGCUAGUAAUUGUGAAAAAAUAAUUAAAGCAAUAAAUAAAGAAAGCAAUAAAGUCACAAAACACGUAGUGGUAAAAGCCUUUAAAGAACAUCCCCAACAGAGUCACCAUGCUGUCGAUGCCCCUUUUUUCCCUAAAAAGAGCGAAAUCGGGUUUUACGACAUUAUGGGCAAAACAACUCUAUUUCCUAUUUGGGAUUUGGAUUAUGGAAUUUGAAGAGCCGCCACCUAAUGAUUAUAGUGCAUUAGGACACUUAAGAGAGAUUAUUUUGAGAAGAAAACCAGAGUUAGGGUAAGGGCUUGAGAUUAUCUCGAGGGGAAGGUGGUAGGCACCCCUCAAGAUCCACUAGCGUGGUUCUAGGCCGUGUUAAUCGUGACUUUAUAAAAGAUGAAACUAUUAAAAGAAGUAAGGUUCACACAUAUAACAUUCGUGCAACUUGAAAAGCUUUAAGGAAGAAAGAAGGACGUAAAUUUAAAAGAGAGUUGAUUUGGAAAAGCAUUACUAUAUUUAAAUAAAAGAAACAAAGAGAGAAAGGGUCCUAGGUUUAACUAUAAUAUGGAUAAUUCAAUGCAAUAUCUCGCACAUAUUCCCAAAGAGGGGUCGCUUUAUGAUAUUAUCGUAUUGUCGUCAUCUCUAUAUUCUACCCUUCCCACCCCUUAGAGGUUAUUUAAGCGUGUGAAUUGGUCACGAAUGCUUAUUACGUGCUAUUACCCUUCCCGUCUUAUAGAUUCUAGAGGGCAUUUAAUCCGAAAUGCUUGUCAUGAUCAUUGGUACCAGCUAUCUCAUUUAGAUAAGUUUCUUUUCUUUCUCUUUUUAACAGUAAUCUGGUUUUGGAUUUUCUUUAUCUUUAACUCUCAAGGUCAUUGCACUUCAAUUCUUUUGGGGUUUUGUGUCUCUAAGAUGUUUCAAUGUCAAUUUUGUUCUAAGAAAAUAAGAAAUGAUUUCAAAGCUCACUACCAGAUUCCAAAAUUGCAAAGCACGGUAUGGCCAGAACAUACCAAAGAUAGCAUGAUGUAAAGUAGGAUACAAGGAGUCACCGGAAGUUUCAUCGGUGGAAUUAUUGGGUAAUUUCAUGAGAGAUGCAAAGGUUCAGAUAAAGGGGUUAGAGGUGUAAAACAAUAGCAUGGGUAUAGAACACCCGGGUCGUCAAAGGUCAUGGGGUUUGAAAGUCAAUCAGAAAGUCAAGCGGUUUAGGGCCAGCUCGGGGAAGCCAAUCAAAACAAAAUAAUAUGGCAGAAAGAUCUUCAACAGGAAUGCCAUUAGCUAAUCAUCAUUUUAAACUGAUAAAAUUUUCUUUGAUUGAAACAGGGCAGAAAAAUUUGUUUGUUCCGGAGGAACUCUCUGUAAGGGAAGAGCAAGCACUAAUCACAUUUGACCCUCCUAGAAAAUGGGACAUAGUUUAAAUUUUAAAAUAAUUAUGAGUAGCAUAAUUUAGCGUAAAUAUACCCCAAAGGAAUAUAAGUUGGCUUCGAAGCUUGAAUGUUUAGGAUAGGAUUCAAUUAAGAGUUUUCAUGACCCUCCUAAAUAAUGGGACCUAGCUUUAAGAUUGUUGUUAGAUAACAAGAUGUAGCGUAGAUAAUACCUCCAGAAGAUGUAACUUAUAGUUAAAAUUGUCAUUUAACUAGGAGUUGUCAGGACCCUCCUAAAUAAUGGGGAGCAGUUUAAGACCUCUUAGAUAACAAUGUUUAGCGGAAGUAACACCUAUAGAAGAUAUAACUUAGAUUUAAAACUAUCAUUUAACUAGGAGUUGUCAGGACCACCCUGGAUAAUGGGAUUUAGCUUUCAAAUUCAAUGAGAUUUUCUGGUAACAUGGUUCAAUUAGCACUCAUAGAUGUGCCCAACUACCAAACUGGGGCAGAAAAUUCGUUUGUUUUGUCUUUUUUGUCGUAAUCAGGCAUCCACCUGGAAAGGAAGGGAGAAGAACACGCGUUUCAAGGAUAUAAAGCAGUUCAGGCUGGAUAGCUUGGAGAGCAUGGGAAUACUUUCAAGUUCAGCAAUCAGGAGCCCACCUGGAGAGCAUGGGAACACAUUCAAGUGCACCAGUCAGGAGCCCGCCUGGAGAACAAGGGAGUACAAUUUAAAUUUUAGCUUUCAAAUUCUUUGUUUUAUCUAUUUUGAAGUCAGGAGCCCUCCUGGAGAGCAUGGGAAUACUUUCAAGUUCAGCUGGAAAGCAUGGGAAUACAUUCAAGUUCAUCAAUCAGGAGCCCCCUUGGAGAGCAUGGGAAUACAUUCAAGCACGGCAGUCAGGAGCCCGCUUGGAGAGCAUGGAAAUAUAUUCAAGUGCAGUAGUCAGGAGUGUGACGACCCGACCUAUCAUCUUCUGUAUUUCAGCCAUGUUACCCCUGUAUUAUGCUUCCCCGUGUGUUGAUAUGUGUGUUUGGUGAGUUUGAAAUGUGUUGGGUUGAAAUUGGUUAGAAAUGAGACCAAUAGUCUCAUUAAGGAAAGCUUAAGUUGGAAAAGUCAACCGAGCAUUGACUUGUGAGUAAGAGGGCUCGGAAUGGAUUACCGAUAAUUCAACUAGUUUCGGAUGGUGAUUUAUGACUUAGGAGAGAAAUUGGAAUUCAAUUUGGAGGAACGGUGAAGAAUUAGGCUUGAAUUGGCUAAAGUUGAAUUUCGGCGAAUUCCGGUUGAUGGGUGAGAUUUUGGUCCGGGGGUCGGAAUGGAAUUCCAAGAGUUGGAGAAGCUUCAUUAGGUGAUUUUGGAUAUGUUUGUAAAUUUUCAGGUCAUUCGGACGUCGUUUGGUUGGGUUUUGGAUUGAAUGCGAAUUUGGAAAGUUAUAGUUUAUCCUCGAAUGAAAUUCAAUGAUUUUAGUGAUUUUUGAUGUAUAAUAUAGCAUUUUAUGGCCCGAGCAAGUUUGAAUGAAGUAUUAGAGUGCAUUUGUGCUUUAGGUUGAGGUCCUGAGGGCCUUGGGAUGGUGCCGGAUGGUUGAACGCGGUGUUUGGAGUUGUUGUUGUGGUGCGAAAAUGCAGCAGUUGUUGCAGGAAUGAUUUGCCCUUCGCGUUUGCGGGCAGCCUUCGUGUUCGCGUAGGCCUGGGGUUUCCUGGUCUUCGCGUUCGCGGAUGAGGGAUGCGUUCGCGUAGAGGUUUGGUCGAGUGAAGGGGUCCCAGGGCCUUUGGCCUUCGCGUUCGCGGUAGCGGAACGCAUUUGCGUAGAGGGAAAGGGCUGUGUGCAUCGCGUUUGCGGCUGGGCACCGCGUUCGCGAAGAAGGAUUUUUGGCCCUGUUGAGGAAGGCCUUCGCAGACGUGACUGGGCCUCGUGUUCGCGAAGAAGGGAGCGUCUGGGAAGAGAAGUUUUAUUUAAUAUUUCAUCCGCGAGCAAGGGCUUGUUUUCCUCCAUUUUUACAAAACCUUGAGAGCUCAUUGACGGAUUUUGAAGGGGAUUUCGACGGGAAGUGAUUGGAGGUAAGUCUCAUGGUCUUAAUACGUCAUUUUAUCGAAGAAUCAACCAUUAAUUCUCUGAAAUUGGAUGUAGAAGUUAAAGAACUAGGGCUAGGAAUUUUGAAUGUAAAUUUGGGAUUUGGAGGAGCAAUUAGACUCCGAUUUUGAUGAAUUUUAUAUGUACGGCUCAUGGCGAGACGAGGAUUCUGAAAAUGUGAAUAUCGUAAUUUUUCGAAUAGCAGGCUCGCGGCUCGGGUUUUGCCAACUUCGUAUUUUUGGGUGUAUUUCGAGUUAUUCCGAUUGGAUUAUGUUCCAUUAGCCGAUUUUGACGUAUUUCUAUUGGUUUUAAUCAGAUUUGGCAUCCGCGGAGGUAGAUUCUCAAGGGAAAGGCAUUGCGAGCUAGUUUGCGGCUGGCUUGAGGUGAGUAAUGGGUGUAGAUGAUGAUCCGAGGGUUUGAAACCCCGGUAUAUCAUAUUGUGAUGCUAUCAUGAGGCUAGACAGGCACUCCAUGGCUAGUGCGUGGUCAUAUAUGUUGGAAAUUGUGACUCGGUCUAAUCCGAUGGAUGUAUUGUUCUAUGUUGGAGAUUGCUUCGUGUAUUAUAUUGCUGAUAUUUGGGCUUGAUGCCAUGUUUGGGGCCUUGUGGCGACUUGUAGGAUCCUUCAGGGAUCGUUAUAUUAGAAUUUUCAUGAUUUGCAUAUUAUUUGAAAUCAGCCAGGUUUAAAUACUAUUUUUGAAAACUCAACCAUACUUAUACGUUUUGAAAACUCAAAUGAUUUCAAAUGAUAUUUCGGGCUAACGAGUACUAUCUCGCUAUUUUUGGACUGUAUAUAUUAUUUUAAAUGGAAACGGUGGUAACUAAAGACACCGUGUAUUUUAAAUGAAAACGGUGGUAGGUAAUGACACCGUGUAAUUUAACUGGAAAUGGUGGUAACUAAGGACACGUCGUAUUGUAAUGAAAACGGUGGUAACAAAGGAUACCGUGUAUUGUGAUGGAAAUAGCGGUAACUAUUGGCACUGUUAUGAUAUGGCGCUUAGGCUGUAGGAGCCCCUCCGGAGUCUUAACCCCCACAGUGAGCACGAGUACCCAUAUGGAUCGGGCUGCACGUUCCGCACUGUUCAUGCAGUGCAUUGCAUCUAAUGCAUUUAUUUAUUGUUGCUUAAUCUAUAUAUCUCUGAGACUGGUACUGUAUAGAAUUGCUAGAUAACUUUACUUUGUGUUAUUUCGUGUUUUCUUAUCUUCGGGUUUUUAUACAUGCUUAUUACUCGCUGAGUUGGUAGACUCACCCCAUAGUCCAUGCACCUUGUGUGCAGAUUCAGGUGCUCCAUAUGCGUAGAGUUUCUGCUGCUGUCUAUUCCAGAUGUACCAGAGUAUUGAGGUAGCUGCCAGCGUUCGCAGAACUUGCUUAGUCUGUCUCUAUCAAUCUAUUUCCCUUAUUGCUUUGUCAGACACUAUAGUUGCUUUCAGUCAGUGUAUUGGUACUUAUUAGAGGCUCUGUACUCGUGACUCCUUGGUUUUUGGAGGAUUAUUGUUCAGUUGUGUUUUCUUGUUAUAAAUUAUCCCUGGCUGUGAGUUUGAUAUUAAAUCUUGCUUUUUGUUCUUGAAAUCUCUUCUUCUUGGGAUGGAAUGCCAUUUGUGGUUUUAUUGGUGGGGCUUGCCUAGUCUUGCGGUCGGGCGCCAACACGACCGGGAUUGGGGUCGUUACAAGCAACCCGCCUGAAGAACAAAGGAGUACAAUUUAAGUUUUAGCUUUCAAAUUCUUAUUGAUAUUUGGUAAUGUGGUUCGUUUUACACUUACAUAUUGACCUUAUUCCUUUUUAGCCAAGGAUAUAUAGGCAACCUCAAAAGCAGGGUGCGAUCAAAUCUUUCAAAAAUGCUUCCCACGGAGUAUUCAAACGGGCAAAAAAUCGCUCUUACUUGCUCAUUUUAGCUUUGCCCGAAAACCCUUCGCGUUUCCGAGCAAAGAGGAGAAGCUGUGAGCACAUGAUUUUUUCCCUACAUGAAUUACUCCCAUAAAUUCAAAACAAUAUAAUUUCUUUUGGUGUUGGCAAUUUUGUGGAUUUUUGUGAUAUUUUCUGUUAAUUGUUUGCAUUUUUGUCUGCGUAUUUUAAUUAAUAAAAAAUACAAAAAUACACACUGCAUUUGCAUUUAGGAUUUAAUUUUUUUUAGAUUUAUUGGUAAAUUAUUGUUUUACGAAAUUGGAAAUCACAAAAAAUAAUUUAUUUUGGCAUUGUUUAAUUUUUAGCUUCGAAUUUUGAUUAGUUUUCCUUUAAUUUGGUAUUUAAUUAGUUGUGAUAAUUAUUAGAGUUAAUUAAUAUAAUUUGGUAGGAUAACUUAGAUUAGGUUAAUUUAGGUUUUAUUUUUAUUUUUAAAAGAAAAAGGAAUUAAAAAAGAAAAUUGAAAAGGGAAAGGAAUUGAAAUAAAGAUGGGAUGAAGAGAAGAAAAAUUGGGCCAAAAUUCAUUUGCAUUAAUCAGGGCCGAAGUAGUUCCCCCUUGUUUCAACACCCGUCUCAGCCCAAACAACCUAACCCGGUCCGGUCCCCACUAACACGAAACGACCCCAUUUUUCCACCCAUUCAAUCGUAGCCGUCUAGGUUCCUCUAAUCUAACGAUGGAGAACUAAGGCUUCUUUGAUAUAAGACUGUCCUAACGACCUCCCCCGUAGCCCCCUUCGUAUCUCAUGUCCCUUACCCCCCAGAAACCCUAGAACUUGCCGCCCCUGAAACUUCGCCAUCUCCGCCGGCGGAGACUCCACACACCACUCCGUUCCACCCAAACUUUACACCACAGUUUCUCCGUUUCCUCCUCAUCUCAAAUCCCCACAUAAUUUCCCUCAAAUCUCACUCAAAUCUCUUGAAUCUUGAUCAGAAACUCCAAACCCUAGCAUCGCCACAGUUCCUCCAGUGGCGACAAUCCCAAUCAACCCCAAAACACACCCUUGAACCCUCACCACCUCUUCUCCACUAAUCUGUGUUCAAUUGCUCUGAAAAAUCCCCCAUAAGUUUUUGAAUUUUAGGUUCAAGGUCCUGAACCCUGUUGCAUAAAGAUUGUUUGAGGAGUUAUUGCUCGUCCCUCGAUAAUUUUAUCUAAUUGCACGUAUUAAGAGCAAGUGGGUGAUAUUUUUGAAGGCGAACAUCAAAGGUUUGAUGUGUGUUGUUGAUUCGGUCCAAAUAGGUAAGCAUUUUGCACUUCUUUUAAGUUUUCUGUCAAGUUUGACUCAUUUUCUUCCUCGCCUCACUCUUUUGAUUUGAAGUUCAUGCUCAAAUUUUAGACAUGAGUUAGUUUUUGUGCCUGUUUUCUCCUGUUAAAUCUUGACCUUUCCAUUCUAUUUUUAAUGGUUAAUAAAAUAAGUGUUUUGGUUGGUUUUAUUUAGAUUAAAUCACUAUUUAGCUUAGUAUUGAUAGGUUUUAUGAUAUAGUAUUCUUAUUUAAAUGUUGGUGUGAUUGCUUGAAUCUUCGAUUCAUGUUUUAAUUUGUUUCCAGUGGCUUUUCGACAUUUUCUUUAAGAAUUGAUUCGUAGUUUGAUUUGUUAGAUGCCCUCUGUGUUUAGGCGAUCCUAUUUGUCACAUUCUCAAACCUAGGGGAGAUAAGUGAAUAAUUAGGAACUUUAAGGAUUCUCAAAGGGAAAGGCAUGGAUAGUAAUAUUUUGUUCAGCAAAGGGCAAUUUGGGGACUUCAUAUUCAGAGGAGAUCGAUUAUGUUAGUUAGAAGUUUCUAGGGGAUAGGAUAAACGUGAGUUUGUUAGGAGGGGUGAUUUUUAAUUCUUUGGAGGGGUAAGAGGGUAAAAAUAAUUUGCUUUGAGAGGGAUGAAAUGGGAAAUUACUAUUUAGGAUAAGGUUGCCUUAAAUAUCCCUAUAUAAUGACCCUUUUUCUCUUCAUUCAGGCAGAUUUUUGAACACUCUGAAAUCUGAGAGAGAAUUCCAGAAAAUACAAAAACAACUCCAGAAAAUUCUAUUGUUACAUUGACAAUUUCAGUUUUCCUUUCGGAAAAAACAAAGGUCCUUAUUGUGAUACUCAGAAUGAAUUGAUAUUUUAUUGUUGGUGCUUCUAAUUCAAGCUGUUUGGGAUUAAAUUUUCACUGAUUUUUGUUGGAUUAAGUUCCUAGGGUUUAAUCACUGGAACUUGUGGUGUUGGUUUGUUGAUUACUAUUCUAUUCUAGUCCCUCGCUUCUCUUCCUUUUUGUGCAAUUUUCAGGUAUUUUUCAGCUCUAUGGAUGUCACUUGAAGUGUAAUUUGAAGCAGAAAUUGGAAACAUGAAAUAGAAAUGUGAUUGUUUGUUUGACUUCUAUUUUGUUAUUCUUUCAAUUUUAUGACUAGAUUAUUAUAGCCUAGCAUAAGUUGUUCCUGUUACUGUAGUACAGUACUUGAAAUCAGUGUUAGGAUCGUUUCUUGUGUGUCGUAUCUUCAAGUGCAUUUUUGAAUUUGAGUCUGUAUUGGUUAGUAAGUCAGAUAUAUAUAUUUUCUUUUGAUAUGUGUGAGUAGCCUUUUAGCUUGGCAGGGGCUUUAUCAUUUUAAAUUGUUAGUUUGAUAACUGGACGUUUGAAUAGAUUAAAUUUGAGCAUGUGAUAAAAGCUGAAGUCAUGUAUUUAUUUUCUUCUGUGAUACAGUUUAUGUUCGGCAAUGGUUGAUGGUAAAAGGUGGAUCCAAUUUGCAGAUUGUUAAUGGUUUAUAUUGAUUUAUGAUCACGCAUGUGUAGUUAUGAUUUGGUAAUAAAUUCUGAAUAAAAAAAGUAGAUUGGUAACCUAGUAUGCUUGAUCAAGAAUUCACCGCCUAAUUUUUUUUAAUUGGCUUUAAAAUAUUUUUUCAAAGUUUAAGAAUUUGAAUGUUUGAGUGCC